GACGAACGCUGGCGGCGUGCUUAACACAUGCAAGUCGAACGGACAGGCGCUGAUUUUGUGGCGUGCUCGUGUGGCGCACGGGUGAGUAACACGUGUGUAUACUCUCCUUGACUUUCGGGUAACUUCAGGAAACUGGGGCUAAUACCGGAUAGGAGCUCCUGCUCCAUGUUGUGGAUUGGAAAGUUUCGGCGGUGGUGGCUGGUCUCGCGGCUUCUCAGCUUGUUGGUGGGGUAGUGGCUUACCAAGCUUUCGACGGGUAGCCGGCCUGAGAGGGUGACCGGCCACAAGGGGACUGCGAGACGGACCAGAAGCCUACGGGAGGCAACAGUGGGGAAUAUGGCACAACGGGCGGAAGCCUGAUGCAGCAACGCUGCGUGCGGGAUGACGGCUUACGGGUUGUAAACCGCUUUCGCCUGUGACGAAGCGUGAGUGACGGUAAUGGGUAAAGAAGCACCGGCUAACUACGUG
rnacentral:rRNA from 1 species